rnacentral:rRNA from 1 species
GACGAACGCUGGCGGCGUGCUUAACACAUGCAAGUCGAACGAAGUGGCGAACGGGUGAGUAACGCGUAAUCAACCUGCCCUUCAGAGGGGGACAACAGUUGGAAACGACUGCUAAUACCGCAUACUGAAGGAGGGGAUUGCGUCUGAUUAGCUAGUUGGAGGGGUAACGGCCCACCAAGGUGAGGAUCAGUCGCCGGUCGGAGAGGAUGAACGGCCACAGUGGGAGUGAGACACGGCCCAGACUCGUACGGGAGGCAGCAGUGGGGGAUAUUGCACAAUGGGCGAAAGCCUGAUGCGGCGACGCCGCGUGGGGGAUGAAGGCUUUCGGGUUGUAAACCUCUUUCGAUAGCGAACGGGUAGGUGGAGAAGAAGCGCCGGCUAACUACGUGCCAGCAGCCGCGGUAAUAC